rnacentral:rRNA from 1 species
UACAGAGGGUGCAAGCGUUGUUCGGAAUUAUUGGGCGUAAAGGGCGCGUAGGCGGUGCGGUAAGUCUGUAGUGAAAUCUCUGGGCUCAACUCAGAGUCUGCUAUAGAAACUGCCGUGCUUGAGUGUGGGAGAGGUGAGUGGAAUUCCCGGUGUAGCGGUGGAAUGCGUAGAGAUCCGGAAGAACACCGGUGGCGAAGGCGGUCUGCUGGGCAGUUGCUGACGCUGAUGCGCGACAGCGUGGGGAGCGAACAGG